AGAAGGGUGUCCGAGUGGUUGAAGGAGCCAGCCUGGAAAGUUGGUAUAGGGGUAACUCUAUCGAGGGUUCGAAUCCCUUCUCUUCUG
rnacentral:tRNA from 1 species